UGGGCGUAAAAAGGCAUUUCGGAUUGCUUAAGGCCACAUUGCUGGGGAGAGGCAUUGCUGAGUUCAGAUCCAGACAGUCAGCCGUGCUCUUGGCCUCCAUGUUGGACUGACAACAACUUGGCAAGUGUUUCUGAGUUCAGACAUUGGUGUCCAUUCUUUCUUCUUCCAUCAAGAUGGGUUCCCAGAGAAGAGCUGCUGAGCUCAGAAGCGAGCGCCUGACAAGAGUUGUGCCGCACGCGGCCACACUGAGUUCCAGAGAGGCUGCUCUUGCGUCUCCCACACAGACGGGUCUGCUGCUCUGGACGGACGCCCACCUCCCUACAGCCUUGUUCUCAUGGAAUAUUACCUCUUCCUUUUUCAUCUUUGCCAAGAGCACAUCAUGUGUCUUAUUUUGCAUUUAUUUGGUCUUUACCGAGAUUGAAAAUAUUUUCAAGUGUUUCCUGGCCAUUUCUGUUUCUUCUGUGAAUUGCUGUUCAUCUAGACUGAAUUUUCUGUGUUUGCUUUUGCUUUCUCUUGCCUGGAAGGAGUAGCUCCUGGCUGAACUGAUGGCUAAGAGUUGAGCCAGGAUGUGGGCAUCCUGGCCUCCAGAGGUUUCUAAGGUGGAAGGAAACGAGCCAGUUGGCCUGAAAAAUCUGGGAGUGCACCAGCCUCCACUCCCUGUGGGAAGAUGGGUGGGGCAGCUUUACACAGAGCUUCACAGGGAGAAUGGACUACCACUUGCCUUGAUAGAGAGGGUUGGACCAAAUGAUUCUGGUGGUUUCUCUGAUCCCCAGAUUCCAUGAAAGAUGGGGAAUUUGGAAGCCAAACUUAGAUAUGGCCUGGCUUCCAGAUCUAAAUUCUGACCUGCUCUGGAAUUAGGGUGGGGUGACUGGCAGAGUCAGAGUGAGGAGAGGCUGGACAGGCGGAGGAGAGGCAAACUCAUUAUGCUCCUGGAGCAAGUGAGGACCACCCCACAUGGGGCCUGGCUCCCCCUCCUAGCACCAGGCAGAACCGUGGCCCAUGUGCUGUUUGCUUUCCUUUCACCUUGCCCUGGAAUUUUUCUGGCCCCAGAAAUAUGGGCCACCAGAGCUACAAACGUCCUCUAAGAUCUUCCAGGGUGAGGAGAAGAGCCAAGCAAAAAAGGAGAAGUAAAAACAAAGAUGAGCACACACCCCUAUGACCACAUUUAUAAAAAGUUAAAUAUAUUUAUGCAGUAUAUCUAAAAAGCAAGUGAAUAAAACUCUCUCUCUCUCUUUUUUUUUUUUUUACAAAAUAUUUCCUUCCCCCAAAUUGUUCUGCUAGAGCUCUGUUCGCUAAAGAGUGGCGAUGAGGGGAUGAGACCUUCCUUAUCCACCCCCCUAUUUUGCAGAAGAACAAACUGAGGCACAGGGCAGGCACACGAUUGCCACACACAGCAAGUGGCGUUUGAUCCUGAAUCUCCUGCCU
rnacentral:lncRNA from 1 species